rnacentral:rRNA from 1 species
GAUGAACGCUGGCGGCGUGCCUAAUACAUGCAAGUCGAGCGAACAGACGAGGAGCUUGCUCCUCUGACGUUAGCGGCGGACGGGUGAGUAACACGUGGAUAACCUACCUAUAAGACUGGGAUAACUUCGGGAAACCGGAGCUAAUACCGGAUAAUAUAUUGAACCGCAUGGUUCAAUAGUGAAAGACGGUUUUGCUGUCACUUAUAGAUGGAUCCGCGCCGCAUUAGCUAGUUGGUAAGGUAACGGCUUACCAAGGCAACGAUGCGUAGCCGACCUGAGAGGGUGAUCGGCCACACUGGAAGUGAGACACGGUCCAGACUCCUACGGGAGGCAGCAGUAGGGAAUCUUCCGCAAUGGGCGAAAGCUUGACGGAGCAACGCCGCGUGAGUGAUGAAGGUCUUCGGAUCGUAAAACUCUGUUAUUAGGGAAGAACAAAUGUGUAAGUAACUAUGCACGUCUUGACGGUACCUAAUCAGAAAGCCACGGCUAACUACGU